CUAUCAACUCCAAGAUGGCGCUGGUUUGUGUCUUAGCAGUUAUCAAACUACCAGAAAACACAGAAAACCACUGAUGUCUCCACAGGCAUCCACAACGACACCCAGUGUGUUGUAAUGGAGUCUUAAUGAUGGCGACAUAAUUCUGAAGACCCAAGCCUCCCCUGUGUUUACGGAUGACGAUGUCACCUUGUGUUAUCAGCAUCAGAGCGGCAAACACAAACAAACCAGCUUCUUUAAAAACAGAGCAUUGAUUGACUCUAACAGUUCGUCCGGUUCAGACCGAGUCAUAAAGAUGACUCUUAAGAAUGUGACACGGGAAGAUGAAGGCUUCUACAGGUGUGCGUCAGACAGCUGCAGAGUCCAGAGAGCUGGUUAUCAGUGAGACCGGACAGUGGUUCCUGGAAAUGGAUCAUUGCUUCAUGUGGGGUUCUACUUCUGAUCGUCAUUCCUUUGACUGUUUGGCUCGUUUGUCACUACAGGUACCAGAAGUUCUGCACUUGGAGCUGCUGGCCAGUUUCCAAACAGGAAGUUCCAGCAGGGGUGCUUCCUGCCACCAAGUUGGAUGUGACGGAGGUGCAGUGGGACCUGUCGUGGAUGGAGAUGUCCAAACUGUUGGAAAAGGAUUCUUAUUGUGGCACUUAAAGGGAAACUCUCUUCUGAAGCCCAGAGACUUAACUAUUGGGUCAAACCUCUGAGAAAGUUCAGUCAGUGCUGCAAUUUGUAGUAUUUGAUGGUCACAUGUCAAAAUAGUGCUACCUGAUAUAUUUUUGAAUUGAAUUAAAUGAGAUGUUUAGGAUUUAUAAGGAUGACUACAUUUGCUGAUGGUGCAGAUUUGAUAGCUUCCAAUACAAAUGUUAUUGUUUCAGUUGUCACAUUUGUCAAUGUCAAUACUCUUGCACAUUUAAACGUCUCUCCUUUGAGUACAUUUUGAAACUAAGAAUCGUAUUUGUUAUAUCUUAUUAUCUAAUCAUUAAUAUAAUUGACUGUUCUCAAUCAUUUUACAUGUAUCAUUUCUCCUGUGUUUGUUCGAGGUUCCAUGUUGUUUGCUCCCUUUGAAUCGUUAUUGGCUAUUUCUUGUCGUCUGAAGUUAUAAAAGUCAUGGAAAUCGUCGUGCUUGUUUUAUAUCUUUUAAGGCAGAACAAACAACUACCAAGAAACUAGAAAUAACUAUAAAGAUUAACCAAACAAAUGAAGUUCAUAUAUUCCAACAGCCUCUAUAGCGGUCAAACCAGUUAGGCCUCAUUGAUAGACCAUGUUAGCUACCAAUUUGUUGCAUUUUGCAUUAAUAGAUCACUACAAACAGUACACGUCUUCUUAAAUAGACCUAAAAUCAACUUUAGACAGAAAGAUGUUAAGAAUCUCCAGUACUAAGAAUCUAAAACAGUAAAAAUUAACUCUGAGAUGUUUUUGAAAUCCGACCUUCAAAAUCAUACUGUCAUGCCAUGUGUAAGGUAGGGCAGUCGGUGGAUGAACAGAAUGUGUGUCCAUUCAUCGUUGAGGAAGAUAUCAGGAAGUCCUACUGACAAACAUUGUUGUGCAUUUUAAAGAACAAAGUAUUUUCAUGUGAGAGAACAAGCAUUUCAAUGAAAACUAGGGCUGCGCAAAAUGAUCAAAAUGUCAUAUCCUCUUGUAGAAGUCAUUUCAUAUCCAGUUAAUCAUAUGUAUUGUAAUUGGUCAUCCAUCUCCGUGAUUCUUUAGGUUUUGUUUGAGCUCUGAGUUGUAUUACUCUCAUCCAUAGACACCUAUGAAGGUAUUUUCUGCUGCAAAACACUUGCAAUGGAAU